rnacentral:lncRNA from 1 species
CCGCUCCGCCUCCGCCCCGCCGCCCCCACUGAUUGGCUUAACACCUCCCGCACCGGGCCUUGGACGUGUCAUUGAUUGGCUGUUCCCACUGCAAGGCCCUACCCCUUCCCUCCUCACUUGCUGCCAGAUAGGCGCGGGGGCGUUGCCUCUUGUCACCCAGGCUCCGCCCACAGACUCUCUAUUUCCCUAACCCCACCCCCUCUUCAAGCCCAGCUUCGUAAGUAGUGGAAUGAGGAACGGAGGUCGCUUCUCAUUAUGGCCAUUGGUGAAAAAUAGAAAGACCACCCCUUAACUUCCUCCUCUAGUUUCAGGACAACCCCUCCGCCCCGGGAAGAAUUCAGAUCUCUGAUUGGUUACUGGACCUGUAACUCCCUCCUCAACUGUUCUCUGAUCCUUCAGGGCCUGGGUCUGCUCCUCCUUCCUCUACCCCAAACAAUGAGCUCCAUAAGGAAGAAAAAGGAAUCUCUGUUUCUACUUGGCCAGGACACAAUGUAUCUACCUGUUCAGGUCUCCCACCUUCCAGUACUACCCCCUUCCCCCAAUACAUUGAAAUUAAUGGGAUUUGGAGCUGGGGCUCAAAUUAGGUUCUCCAGACUAAACCGCUAUUAGCUAUGUAACAACAGUCAAUUUGUUGAACCUCUCUGGGCUUCGAUUUCUUCAUCUAUAAAAUAGAG